AGAGUUUGAUCCUGGCUCAGGAUGAACGCUAGCGGCAGGCCUAAUACAUGCAAGUCGAACGGAGCAGCAAUGCUUAGUGGCGCACGGGUGCGUAACGCGUAUGCAACCUACCUAUCAGUGGGGAAUAGCCCGGGGAAACCCGGAUUAAUACCGCAUAAGAUCAAAGAGUGGCAUCACUUUUUGCUGAAACAUUUAUGGCUGACAGAUGGGCAUGCGUUAGAUUAGCUAGUUGGUAGUGUAAGGGACUACCAAGGCAAUGAUCUAUAGGGGUUCUGAGAGGAAGAUCCCCCACACUGGUACUGAGAUACGGACCAGACUCCUACGGGAGGCAGCAGUAGGGAAUAUUGGGCAAUGCCCGCAAGGGUGACCCAGCCAUGCCGCGUGCAGGAAGAAGGCCUUCUGGGUUGUAAACUGCUUUUGGAAGGGAACAAAACGGCUCUGCGGAGCAACUUGAGUGUACCUUCAGAAUAAGCACCGGCUAACUCCGUGCCAGCAGCCGCGGUAAUACGGAGGGUGCAAGCGUUGUCCGGAUUUAUUGGGUUUAAAGGGUGCGUAGGCGGCUUGUUAAGUCAGGGGUGAAAGACUGCAGCUCAACUGUAGCAGUGCCUUUGAUACUGAUGAGCUUGAGUAUAGAUGAGGCCGGCGGAAUUUAUGGUGUAGCGGUGAAAUGCAUAGAUACGAUCCAGAACUCCGAUUGCGAAGGCAGCUUACUAGGCUGUAACUGACGCUGAGGCACGAAAGCGUGGGGAGCGAACAGGAUUAGAUACCCUAGUAGUCC
rnacentral:rRNA from 1 species